GCGCACUUGGCUCCGGCUCUUGGCCAGGCAGUUUUGGUCUCAGUGGGUCACUUGGGAUUCCAGGUCAGCGAAACUGUGUAACUCCCUUUUGAGCAUUCCAGUGAGGACCCACAGUCAGGCAACCCAUUUCAGAGUGGGGUUGCCCUGUAACAUUCCAACUUUUUGGAUUCCAGUCCACCUAGAUUAUAUUUAUUCAUGCAUACAAGAACCGGGGUACAGGCCAGAUGCGCAAGAGGGUGAGAGGAUUCACCAGAGACAGAGUUAGGAGCAAAACAAGCAGAUCUACUGAAAUACACUGCUGAGGGGAGCAUCCCCCAGACAGGAGAGGUCUGACGCACCAUGUGGGAUUCCAUGCUGCAGAGGAUGCAGACAGCAUCACAGCGCUGUGCUCAAC